rnacentral:tRNA from 1 species
UCUAACGUGGCAGAUAAGUGCGUUGGAUUUAAGCUCCAUAAAUAAAGUUUAUACUUUCAUUAGAA